AUCCCGUUCUGCCAUAUGUGGUCUGGGAGAGAAUAUGUUGCUGUCUAGAGUUAUAUAAACACAUGGAAGUUAGAGGUCAUGAUAUAUAAUUGUGAAGCGAUUUCUAUAUUUUAGUGCUAGGUUUUUAAAGUACUAAAGCUCGGAUAAGGUUAAUAAAUUUAAGCCGUUAAUAAACUAAGGUUAAUAUAAUUUAAGCCAGUUGCUAUGUGUUGUUAGGGUGAAACUAAUUAAAAGAUUAACUUUUUAUCAGAGAUUUGCAUUUUCUACUGUAUGGAUAAAUACGGGUAGAUUAGGAUAUUCGUUGCGCGGGCGUCGCGGGUUAUCCGUGCGGGUUGGAAACACAACAAUAAUGAGGUUUAUAUUGGAAGAGAGAAAGCAAUUUAGACAAUGCAGGAGCGCUUUGCAGCCAAAAGUUUACACAAGAAUUGAAUCUUAAAAUACAUUUAUUUCUUCGAGACGUUUACAAAGUUAAUGUGGUCUACUUCUUAGAGCAUAAUGUGUUGGAUUUUAUUUAAAUUACGCACAACAAUUUAAACGUUUUUUGUAAUAAAGGUCGUUCGGCUUAAUUGUUCAUUCGCCAUGGUUUCUAUACCCCUAGCCCUACAUCAACCCUACAUCGACCCUACAUCGACCCCACAUCGACCCCACAUCGACCUCACAUCGACCCUACAUCGACCCUACAUCGACCCUUAUCUUCAUCUUCUUAUUUUCCUUAUCCUUAUCUUUAUCUUCCUUAUCCUUAUCUUUAACUUCCUUCUCCUUAUCUUCCUUAGCCUUAUCUUUAUCUUUUUAUCUUCCUUAUCUUUAUCUUCCUUAUCCUUAUCUUUACCUUUUUAUCUUCCUUAUCUUUAUCUUCCUUAUCUUUAUCCUCCUUAUCUUUAUCUUUUUAUCUUCUUUAUCCUUAUCUUUAUCUUCCUUAUCUUUAUCUUUUUAUCUUCCUUAUCCUUAUCUUAUCUUCUUAAUUUUAUCUUCUUAUCUUCCUUAUCCUUAUCUUCCUUAUCAUCCUCGAAUGGCUUUAGGAUUCAAUGAUUCACUCUUAUGAUUCAAUGAUUCACUCUUAUGAUUCAAUGAUUCACUCUUAUGAUUCAAUGAUUCAAUCUUAUGAUUCAAUGAUUCAAUCUUAUCAUUCAAUGAUUCACUCUUAUGAUUCAAUGAUUCAAUAUUACGAUUCAAUGAUUCAAUCUUACUAUUCAAUGAUUCAAUCUUAGUAUUCAAUUAUUCAAUCUUAAGAUUCAAUGAUUCACUCUUAGGAUUCAAUGAUUCACUCUUAGGAUUCAAUGAUUCAAUCUUACUAUUCAAUGAUUCAAUCUUAGGAUUCAAUUAUUCAAUCUUAUGAUUCAAUGAUUCACUCUUAGGAUUCAAUGAUUCAAUCUUACGAUUCAAU